UCGGGAAUUUUGGGCAAUGGGCGAAAGCCUGACCCUGCAACGCCGCGUGAAGGAUGAAGUAUUUCGGUAUGUAAACUUCGAAAGAAUAGGAAGAAUAAAUGACGGUACUAUUUAUAAGGUCCGGCUAACUACGUGCCAGCAGCCGCGGUAAUACGUAGGGACCAAGCGUUGUUCGGAUUUACUGGGCGUAAAGGGCGCGUAGGCGGCAAUUCAAGUCAUCUGUGAAAUCUCCGGGCUUAACUCGGAACGGUCAGAUGAUACUGCUUUGCUAGAGUGCAGAAGGGGCAAUCGGAAUUCUUGGUGUAGCGGUGAAAUGCGUAGAUAUCAAGAGGAACACCUGAGGUGAAGACGGGUUGCUGGGCUGACACUGACGCUGAGGUGCGAAAGCUAGGGUAGCAAACGGGAUUAGAUACCCACGUAGUCCCUGAGCGGGCUGGCAAGGCGCAU
rnacentral:rRNA from 1 species